rnacentral:rRNA from 1 species
CACGCCCUAAACGAUGUCAAUUAGCUGUUGGGCAACUUGAUUGCUUAGUAGCGUAGCUAACGCGUGAAAUUGACCGCCUGGGGAGUACGGUCGCAAGAUUAAAACUCAAAGGAAUUGACGGGGACCCGCACAAGCGGUGGAUGAUGUGGAUUAAUUCGAUGCAACGCGAAGAACCUUACCUGGUCUUGACAUGUACGGAAGACUGCAGAGACGCAGUUGUGCCUUCGGGAACCGUAACACAGGUGC